UCGCGCUGGUGGCCGGCGGCGGUGAACGCCUUGGCGAUGGCGAUCUCGACGCCGGUGAGGCGGGCGCCGGUCAUGCGGUGCAGCGCGAU
rnacentral:tRNA from 1 species